UGCAAGUCGACGCUUUGAUUUUCACCGGAGCUUGGCUCCACCGAAAAUCAAAGAGUGGGCGGACGGGUGAGUAACACGUGGGCAACCUGGCCCAACAGAAGGGGGAUAACACUUGGAAACAGGUGCUAAUACCGCAUAAUUUGUUUUCCCGCAUGGGAGAAUAAUAAAAGACGCUUCGGUGUCACUGUUGGAUGGGCCCGCGCUGCAUUAGUUAGUUGGUGGGGUAAUGGCCUACCAAGACCGUGAUGCAUAGCCGACCUGAGAGGGUGAUCGGCCACACUGGGGACUGAGACACGGCCCAGACUCCUACGGGAGGCAGCAGUAGGGAAUCUUCGGCAAUGGGACGAAAGUCUGACCGAGCCAACGCCGCGUGAGUGAAGAAGGUUUUCGGAACGUAAAACUCUGGUUGUUAGAGAAAGAUACAAGU
rnacentral:rRNA from 1 species